GCCUCAGUGGGCCCCGCCCACAAGCAACCAACUAUCAGUGAGACACCGGGUUAGUUGUCCUGCUCAGCUAUUGGUCAGCACCGCAGUGGGCUCUGCCCACAAGGAACUGUCAAUGAGGGGCCAUUAAGGAAGUGAUUGAGCCAAGAGUCAGUGGUGUAGUGGUCAUCAGGUGGAGAGUAAGGAGCUGUCAGAGCUGGAGUCUCUUACAAGUCACCUGAAGAUGAAUGCUGAGGGAAGGUGCUCACCGGCUUCAGAAGAGGGAGGCGCCUGGGCUCUGCAGCAGGAAGGUCGGCGCUCACCCUCGGGGGACUCGCCUCUUCUGUCUCCAUAGCUUGUGAAGGGGGCCUGCAGCCCCAUUGUGUGACGUUGUUUUAGACGACCUGCUGUUACCUGCAGAAGAACAACCAGAAACUGUCCCGAAAUGUCUCGAGUAGCUGUCAGCAUCCUGGGCCUUCUCCGUGUCCACAUCCUCCCGCUCAAUGGCUCUCGCCUUGGUGCACCGUCUCCGGGGUGAAACCCUUCACUCUUCCUCCGAGCUCCUCGCGUUCUGCAGUUUGGUCACAGAGUCGAAGUUCCCACCCUCAGUGGGCAACUUCCAUCUCAGACCUAUUAGGAGGUGUCCAGUAUCUGGAAACAUUUCGGCAUCUCAGGCCUCCACUGACCCAGCAGCUGCUUGCAGAAGAGCAGCUGGGAAUCCUGGGGAUCAGCGACUCUCACUGGGUCACCAUUAAUUUGCUCGUGCUUCUGGUGUCAUUUCCAAAAAAUCAUUGUCAAGACAGAUGUCAAGGAGCUUUUUCUACAAGGAAUAUUUUAAGAGACGCUGGAGGGGUCGAGGGCGCUGUCCGGUUUCCCCACUAGGGGGCGGGCUUGGUCACUAGUUGAUUGCAGUGUUUUUCCCACUUGUGCACACACAAGCUCAGACUCCUUCCCAGCAAACCAUUCUAGUCCUUUGCUACCAAUUCAUGGGAGUUGAUGUUCAAGACGAAAUGUUCUGCUCAUCUUGACUUAGCCAUAAUAUACAUUCUAUUGAAGCCAGUUCUCUUACAAUGCCUCUGAUGGAUGAUUCAAGACUUCCCACAUUUGCCUCCAACUUUUCUAACUCUAAACAAUGACAUGCCAUCAAAUGGAAUGCUUUCUGGUGCUCAAUAAAGCCUUCACUGUUCUUGUA
ensembl:lncRNA